GACGAACCGGACAAACGUUAUUCGGAAUCACUGGGCUUAAAGGGUGCGUAGGCGGCGCGGCAAGUUGGGUGUGAAAUCCCUCGGCUCAACCGAGGAAUAGCGCCCAAAACUGCCGUGCUCGAGGGAGACAGAGGUGAGUGGAACUUAGGGUGGAGCGGUGAAAUGCGUUGAUAUCCUAAGGAACUCCGGUGGUGAAAGCGACUCACUGGGUCUCUUCUGACGCUGAGGCACGAAAGCUAGGGGAGCGAACGGG
rnacentral:rRNA from 1 species